CCACACAGAGAUCCAGAUAAUCAGCAACUUCCCCGAGAUGCUAGCUCCUUUGCAGAAUCUUUACUUGAUGGUAGAGGGUUUUCAACUCCUUGAGAACUGCAAUAGGACAAUGGCUUCCUUGAGAUUUUUUUUGCCGAAAUUUCAAAUUUCAAGAGGCAAGAAAGAAGAAGGAGAAGCCCUUGGGCGUGAAGAGGAAGAAGGAG
rnacentral:lncRNA from 1 species